UACGUAGGGUCCGAGCGUUGUCCGGAUUUAUUGGGCGUAAAGAGCUCGUAGGUGGUUCGGUAAGUCGGAUGUGAAAUCUCCAGGCUCAACCUGGAGGGGUCAUUCGAUACUGCCGUGACUAGAGGUCGGUAGGGGAGUGUGGAAUUCCUGGUGGAGCGGUGAAAUGCGCAGAUAUCAGGAGGAACACCCGUAGCGAAGGCGGCACUCUGGGCCGGAACUGACGCUGAGGAGCGAAAGCGUGGGGAGCGAACAGG
rnacentral:rRNA from 1 species